rnacentral:rRNA from 1 species
UACAGAGGGUGCAAGCGUUAAUCGGAAUUACUGGGCGUAAAGCGUGCGUAGACGGUUAUGUAAGUUAGGUGUGAAAUCCCCAGGCUCAACCUGGGAACUGCGUCUGAUACUGGAUGGCUUGAAUCCGGGAGAGGGAUGCAGAAUUCCAGGUGUAGCGGUGAAAUGCGUAGAUAUCCGGAGGAACACCGGUGGCGAAGGCGGCAUCCUGGACCGACACUGACGCUGAGGAGCGAAAGCCAGGGGAGCAAACGGG